rnacentral:sRNA from 1 species
GGUGGAACCGGGGCGUUUAGGCCCGCUGGUGAGCAGGUCCCUUCGUUGUCUAUGAACAGCCUUAUUUUAGAACUUCCUUGUUUGGGACAGGAAUUUUGGCGGGGGUUUCGGGGUGAGAUCCUGGUCAAAACGUAGGGGGAUUUUGUUUCCUGGCCUUUGGUUCCCCCCCUUUUCAAGGUUUCCCCUUUUCUUAGUGUCCCUUGCUUGAUCUUUGCUUCAGCGGUCCGCGCCCGAAGCAGAAGAAGAGGAAAAACUUGUCUCCUUCCCUACCCUUUAACCCGAAACAGGAAGAGUCCAAAGCGACCAAGAGACGAAAUGUCACCGCCACGCACGGGAGUUCAUGCACAAAUAUUUUCCAGAAGGGGAGAAUUAAACUUUUGGCGUGUCCAUGUGGUAUAUUUCCCGCGUAGCUCGUCCCCCAUUUCUGACUCCUUGACUCCGCU